ACGGCGCCUGCUAGUCAGAGAGGGGACUGAGCUCUGCUAUACUCCGGGCAGAGCGCCACUGUCCGGUCCUCAAAUUUCUUACCCUCCGCGAAGAGCGACCCCUGCUGCAACUUCGGAGGGAAGACACUUAGGACCACUUAAAGCAAGUUUUGUGGCCAAGCCACAAAAGAAGGUAAAGAGUAUUGUCUUCAAGCUCAAUCAGGAGUAAGAGCCACAGGAAUCUGGGAAUUAGAAUCCAGACUGAGUUUGGCAGCAAGAACAUGUGUCCCAAGAAGCAAGCAUCAUUUCUGAUCUUAGGAAAUUGCCUUCAGGAUUCCAGUCCAGUGAAAGGUUGCCACUGGCAAUUGUGCCUCAUCUAGACAUUGCUUUUCUUUAAAUCCCCAGUCUUAACAUAAUAUCUCAAACACAGUAUGAAUUUAAUAAAUGCUUAUUAAGUGACUGA